UAAAAAUUAGGAUGUGUAUUUCAGUGCUUUGUUAUCCACUGCAGGUCCAACUGUUUCUUGUAAAAAGUCUGAUAUGCCAUUAAUUAGAGUAAAAAUCUAAAAAAAUUUAAGUAGGUAAGUAAUAAAAGUCUUAAAUACCUUACACACAAAUAUACAGAUUGAUAAGAGUAGUAAAUUAAUUUGCAUGUUGCUCGAUAAAGUGAAACAUUGAAGAAUGAAAUUUUAUCUGUUAACAUAAAGGACCCUGUACAAUAAGGCAUUAAGCUAUAUGCAAAUAUUAUCUUUAUAUUGAAAAGCUCAGGGUUCUAAUAAAUCAUGUUGUAACAAUAAUAUACUGUGAAGCCUAAAGUUAUCUCACAAGAAUUUUCUGUCAGCACUGAAAAGACAGGUGUUAAAAUAAAUGUUUAUAAUAGACUAGAUAAGCAAUAAUUUACAAUAUUUACCUGACAAUCUAAACCCAAAUAUAAAAUGUUUCUUAUCUUGACCAUGAGGAACUAAUUUGUCUUACACAUUAUAUAAAUGCCUCAUUAUACCCAAUUUAACUAUCAAAUUAAAAUGUUGCAGAAAAUAAUUAUAACUGUCAUGCUGUUAAGCAUGCUUUUCAGUAUCCACAACACCUCUCCUCUAGAACGAAAGCAUAACCUCACAACAAGCAUUGCUAACUUACAAAAAGUUCUACUGCAAAAGAACAAUGAACUAAUAUUCAGAUCUAGCAACACCAGUGCAACAGUUAUAAUAAGCGCAGUACAAACAAUAGUGGAUAAUAUUAUAGCAAACAUUGGUACCUCAGUUAGCUCAUUAAUUAGCAGUGUUACCCCUUUAGCAACGACACUGCAAACCGACCUAGUGAGCCCAGUGUUAAGUUUAAUAAAUACUUUAAGUUCUUUAACAUUUAUUCAGGCAGUGCCCAAUGUGUAUGCUGUACUUUUAGUCGCACAGAUUGUAUUAACGAUUGGUAAUGCCACAUUGGGGAGUGCCGACAGUAUAGGAACUGUUACUACUAGCCUUUUUGGGUCUAUACAGUCUAGUGUAGAUUCAAUUUUCAGUUUGAUACUUAGUUUUGUGUAAGACUGUUUAUGUAUUAUAGUACGAAUUAUGUUCAAUUGUAUUUAAUGUUUGGAUGGUUAGUAAAAGUUUGUUUUAAA